rnacentral:rRNA from 1 species
UUGGAGGGCAAGUCUGGUGCCAGCAGCCGCGGUAAUUCCAGCUCCAAUAGCGUAUAUUAAAGUUGUUGCAGUUAAGAAGCUCGUAGUUGAAUUUCGGGACCAUCAUGUCGGUCGUGCCUCGGUACGUACUGGCAUUGUUGGUUUCUCCCUUCUGACGAACCAUGAUGUCAUUUAUUUGGUGUUGUGGGCAGGACUGUUACUUUGAAAAAAUUAGAGUGUUUAAAGCAGGCUCACGCUUGAAUACAUUAGCAUGGAAUAAUGAAAUAGGACGUUUGAUUCUAUUUUGUUGGUUUCUAGGAUCGACGUAAUGAUUAAUAGGGAUAGUUGGGGGCAUUAGUAUUCAAUUGUCAGAGGUGAAACUCUUGGAUUUAUUGAAGACUAACUACUGCGAAAGCAUUUGCCAAGGAUGUUUUCAUUAAUCAAGAACGAAAGUUAGGGGAUCGAAGACGAUCAGAUACCGUCGUAGUCUUAACCAUAAACUAUGCCGACUAGGGAUCGGAUGAUGUUAAUUUUUUAAUGACUCAUUCGGCGCCUUACGGGAAACCAAAGUGUUUGGGUUC